GACGUAGGGCGCGAGCGUUGUCCGGAUUUAUUGGGCGUAAAGAGCUCGUAGGCGGCUUGUCGCGUCGUCCGUGAAAACCCGGAGCUCAACUCCGGGCCUGCAGUCGAUACGGGCGGACUUGAGUGUUGCAGGGGAGACUGGAAUUCCUGGUGUAGCGGUGAAAUGCGCAGAUAUCAGGAGGAACACCGGUGGCGAAGGCGGGUCUCUGGGCAACUACUGACGCUGAGGAGCGAAAGCGUGGGGAGCGAACAGG
rnacentral:rRNA from 1 species